AAAUGGACAAGGUUUGACUAUUAACUCUAUUGGUUCAAUGUGUUUUACCUCCCAAACUAACCCUAAAACCUCCCUUACCCUUAAUAAUCUGCUUUUAGUUCCUUCUAUAACUAAAAAUCUCAUGAGUGUGUCUAAAUUUGCUCAGGACAAUAAUGUUUUCUUUGAAUUUCACCCUACAUUUUGUCUUGUUAAAUCACAGGCUUCUUCUGAAGUUCUGCUACAUGGCAUUGUUGGAGCUGAUGGACUCUAUAAGUUUGCCUCACCCUUAGACUCAAUUUCUGCUUUGAAUAAAAUUCCUAAACAGUGUAAUUCUGUUUUCUUUCCUCAUUCUAGUUUAUCUGCUUCUAUGGUUAAUUCUCAACCUUAUGUUCAUGUUUCUCAAUUUGCAUCAAAUAAUAAUAAUAUUUCUGGUUGUGCACCAAUGACUGUCUCUCUUUAUGAUUUGUGGCAUGCACGUUUAGGACACCN
rnacentral:lncRNA from 1 species